rnacentral:lncRNA from 1 species
GCUAAGUAGACUCACUCUCCUAAGGGGUGUGGGCGAAGGCGCGGAUCAGUCCCCUAACAAGUCAGAUUUGAUGGAAGGAAAGGCGGACUACCCUUUGGUGCAAGCUAAGAGAGAGGAAUGUCAGGAACGCUACUUAGAAUUGGAGUUAUAGGAGUCGCUUUGCGAUCGAGAGACAAGGGAAUUAGAAUAGGAAUGUAGUCGAGGCAGCCUCAAAGCAAGGUAUAUUAGAUUUGGAAGCAAGUAAGGACAGACUCACUAUCAAUAAUAUAAGAGUAACAAAGUUCAGGUCCUGAUCACUAGAUAAAGAAUCAAAAGCACAGGUAAGAUAAUGAAAAAGCAGAGCAUAGCAAUCAAAGACAGGGGACAUAGACUAGUCAGAAGUAAAGUCAGAACAAUAGCAAGUGAAGGCAGGCAUAGGGGCAUGAUAGUCAGCUUCGAGGUCAGUAGCGAAAGUCUAGCUAUCAGUGAUUUCCGCCUUAUCA